AUGUUGCCUUUUCGAUGAUUUCUGAUCAUGAAAAUCACUAGAACAAGAUUAGUACUACCAUUUAGUUGUUUGAUUCUCUGAGUUUGCAGCAGACUUUUCUUCUUCUCAUGUCAGCAUCCUUCAGCUACGAUGUGUUCCUCAGCUUCAGAGGUUCUGAUACUCGCUACGGUUUCACUGGAAAUCUCUACAAAGCUCUUUGUGACAAGGGAAUCCAUGCCUUCAUCGAUGAUGAAGAGCUUCAAAGAGGGGAUGAAAUCGGAGAAGCACUUAUCGAGGCCAUUAAACAGUCUAGGAUGGCCAUAGUUGUGUUCUCCAAGAACUAUGCAUCUUCUUCCUUUUGCUUAGAUGAACUUGUCAAGAUCAUUGAUUGUGUUAAGGAAAAGGGUCGUCUGAUUUUGCCCAUUUUCUACGACGUCUGCCCUUCUCAUGUUCGAGGCCAGUCUGGGAGUUAUGCAGAAGCUUUGGCCAUGCACCAGGAAAGGUUCAAAAGCAGCAAUCAAAGCCUCAUUGAUAACAUGGGCAGGUUGCAGAAAUGGAAGAUGGCUCUUAACCAAGCAGCUAAUGUGUCCGGAAAGCAUUACAAACUUGGAAAUGAAUAUGAACAUGAGUUUAUAGGGAAGAUAGUUAAAGAGGUCUGCAACAAGAUAAACCGCAGACCUUUGCAUGUUGCAGAUUACCCCGUUGGGAUGGAGUGUCGAGUGCAAAAAGUGAAGUCACUUCUUCAAUUUGGAUCUGAUACUGGAGUCCACAUUGUAGGGAUUCAUGGAAUAGGCGGAAUGGGGAAGACAACACUAGCUCGAGCAGUUUACAAUUCCAUUGCAGACCAAUUUGAAGGUUUAUGUUUUCUUGAUGGUGUGAGAGAAAACGCUGUUAAACAAGGGUUAGUACAUCUCCAAGAGAUGCUUCUUUCUGAAAUAGUUGGAGAGAAGGAUAUUAGGAUAGGAAGUGUAAGCAAAGGAAUUUCAAUAAUAAAGCAUAGGCUCCACCGAAAGAAGGUUCUUUUGAUUCUUGACGAUGUUGACAAACUAGAACAAGUGCGAGCAACGGCUGGAGAGCGUAAUUGGUUUGGUUCUGGCAGCAGAGUCAUCAUAACAACUAGGGACAAACAUUUGCUUCAGGGAGUUGAUGGAAAAUAUGAGGUAGAGGACUUAAAUGAGGAAGAAGCACUUGAAUUGCUUAGUUGGAAUGCUUUUAAAGAUCACAGAGUUGAUCCAUGUUACAAGGACAUUUCAAACCAAGCAGUGGCUUAUGCUUCUGGCCUUCCACUAGCUUUGGAAGUAAUAGGUUCCUUGUUGUUUGGAAAAGGUACAAGAGAAUGGGAAUCUGCAUUAGACCAGUUCAAAAAAAUCCCUAACAGAAGGAUCCAAGAAAUACUUAAGGUGAGCUAUAAUGCUUUAGAGGAAAAUCAACAGAGAAUUUUUCUUGACAUUGCUUGCUGCUUGAAAGGAUAUGAAUUGGAAGAGGUUGAAGACAUACUUGGUGUUCAUUAUGGUGUUUGCAUGAAAUAUGACAUAGGAGUGUUGGUGGAUAAAUCUCUCAUAAAAAUUAAGAAUGGCUGUGUGACACUUCAUGAAUUGAUAGAAGUUAUGGGUAAGGAAAUCGAUCGCCAAGAAUCACCCAAAGAGCUUGGGAAACACAGGAGGUUAUGGUUCCAUAAAGAUAUAAUUCAAGUUUUAGCAGAAAAUACAGGGACUAGUGAGAUUGAAAUAAUCUGUUUGGAUUUCCCCUUAUAUGAAGAAGAUGAAGAAGUAUUUGUAGAAUGGGAUGGAGAGGCCUUCAAGAAGAUGGAAAACCUCAAAACACUAAUUAUUAGAAACUCUCAUUUUUCAAAAGGUCCAGCAUAUCUUCCAAAUAGUUUAAGAGUAUUAGAAUGGUGGACAUAUCCAUUACAGGAUUUACCAACUGAUUUUCAUCCGAGCAAACUUGCCAUAUGCAAAUUACCCAGAAGUUGCUUUACAUCACUUGAGUUAGCUACCAUAUCAAAGGCAUGUGUAAUGGGUUCAUUUCCACGAUCAUUCGAAGAUUAUUCUGUUGGUUCUUAUUUGUUUUCCCUUUUUCUUUUGCAGAAGUUCAUGAAUCUGACAGUUCUGAAUUUUGAUGGGACUGAAUGUUUGACAAAAAUACCUGACAUAUCGAGCCUCCAAAAUUUAGAAAAACUGACAUUUGAGUGUUGUGAGAAUUUAGUUGCAAUUCAUGGUUCUGUGGGUUUUCUUGAUAAACUUAAAAUCUUGAGUGCUUUUGGCUGCAGCAAGCUUACGAGUUUUCCACCCAUCAAGUUGAUCUCUCUUGAACGACUAGAUAUUUCAUCUUGUUCAAGUCUUGAGAGUUUUCCAGAAAUAUUAGGAAAGAUGGAAAAUAUAACGCAGCUAGAGUUGAAGUACACUCCCUUAAAAGAAUUCCCAUUUUCAUUUAGAAAUCUUGCUCGACUUCAAGAUUUGGUGCUGGUUGACUGCGGAAAUGUUCAGUUGCCGAGUAGCAUUGUCAUGUUGCCAGAACUGGCUGAGAUUUUCGCCCUGGGGUGUAAAGGCUGGCUAUUGCCAAAACAAGAUGAGAAUGAUGAAGAAAAAUUGAGCUCAGUGUCUUCAAAUGUAAAAUGUCUUUGUCUCUCAGGCUGCAAUCUAUCAGAUGAAUACUUUCCCAUGGUUUUAGCAUGGUUUGGUAAUGUGAAAGAGUUAGAACUAUCAAGCAAUAGCUUCACAUUUCUUCCAGAAUGCAUCAAACAAUGUCGUUCUUUAAAAUUACUUAACUUGGAUAACUGUGAGCAUCUUCGAGAAAUUAGAGGGACUCCACCAAAUUUAGAAUAUUUCUCUGCUGGAAAUUGCAAAUCCAUGAGUUUCUGUUGUUCAGCCAUGCUAUUGGACCAGGAACUGCAUGUGGCUGGAAACACUAUGUUUUGUUUGCCAGGAUCUAGAAUACCAGAAUGGCUAGAGCAACAAAGUAUAGGUCCAUCACUAUCUUUCUGGUUUCGUGAGAAGUUCCCUGUCAUGGAUUUGUGUUUUGUUAUUGGGCCAAUGGGUAAGGACUCUAUUUUGUUUAGACCAAUCAUGACCAUCAAUGGCAACACAAUGGAGAUACAGUCCUUAACUGAUAAGAGGUUUUGUUUCGAUUUCCCUGCAUUGGAUUAUCAUAUACUCAUCAUUGGUACAAAGUACAUGAAGUUUGGAGAUAAUCUGGAUAAACCACUCUCAAAAAAUGAAUGGAAUCAUGUGGUGGUUUCCAUUGCUCUUGAUUUUGAACCAACCCCUAAAGAGAUUAUUGUCAAGCAAACUGCACUCCAUGUAAUCAAACCAGAAAGUAGCAUGGAUGAUAUCCAAUUCACUGAUCCUUGUAAGCAACCAUCCUUCAAAGAGAAGCAAAGAUUGGUUGACACUGUUGAUUGUCACAGACAAUUUAUGCAGCACCAAACCACUUUGGUUUCAUUGGAACCACAUGUGAGACAAGGCAGAAAUUCACUUUCAUUGAUUCCACCUCAAGAAUGCAAAAAUAAUCUGAACUGGGAUUCAUUUUCAACUGGAACAAGUAGCAUUGCCAGUGUCCAGGAAUAUGAAAUUGCAUCAAAGAAGUUACGUUUGGACAUGGGAAUUUUGCAAUUUGUGCAGCAGCGGAAAAGAUUGGCUAUUUUGGGUUUACUGCAACAACGACGCAUGGCUUCAUUGGAUUUACUGCAACGAAGGGGCAGAGAAUUGCUUUCAUUGCUUUGUUCUCCAUCAUUGGAGUUGAUGGUCUCAUGGCAGAGGAGAUGCAUCACAACUUUCCAAGUUUCUGAUUUUCAGGUUUGCAGGAGCAACAUUUACCUUCGACCAUCAAACAAAACUUUGAAGGCUGUAAUGGCAUCAAUGAAGCCAAAGUGAAUGAAGUGAUAAGAUGCAACAACAAUUAUGGAAAUGACAAUGAAAGAAACCCAUUAGUGGAACAGCUUCUACUGAGAAAGGCAAGCUGAAACUUUACUUUGAAUGGAACAUCGCUUAGAGCCAAACGCUUAUAGCCAUUUUCAUUCACAAAGAUGCCAACAUCCUUGCACAAGUGCUUGGAAUAAGGUAACAGAGUUGGACAAUAGACAAUUUUAUAAGCACCUUCAAACUUCUCAAUCUUGAACCAGUUGCGUAUGGUUCCCCAACUAGGGUUUCCCACAGAGCCACCAGUGGUCACAAACCACUGUCCUUUAGCAACAUCAAAGUGGUCCAGUUUCCACACUGGCGAAUACUCAGCACAACUGGUAUGAUCGGUGGAGAACAUGAUGUUCAAAUCAGUGGACACACGAACAACACCUUUCUUAGGGUCAACGGGUGAGAAUGACAAUGGCAAGCCAAGAGAUCCUCUCACAAGCACCACAUCAAGAGGGCAUGAUUCAUCAAGGCUGGCAAUUGAAAGGCCUCCACUUUUGAAGCAUAUUCCGUACCUUGGGCAUCUUGUUAAGGGACAGCCGGAACAAUGUAGUAACUGAGACCAACUCGGAGCUUUUUCCCUGAUGUGUCAACCACUUGCUCAGGUGAUGCAUCUGCUGCUCCAAGUAAUGGUUGAGAGCUCAAGGCAAAGAGAAGCACAAAUGCUAUCAGUAUGCUCUUCAUUAUUUGUUUUGUGUGUAAUUAAGGUUAUUAUUUUGGUUGAUGAUGGAUGGACCAUACUGGAGAUGUGAAGUCUGAAUUUAUAGAUGUCUUCGUUUAAUAUUAA